rnacentral:tRNA from 1 species
UUUAACUUGGCAGAACUUAAUGCUAUUGAUUUAGAAUCAAUUUAUAAAAAAAUUUUUAGUUGGUA